rnacentral:rRNA from 1 species
UGGGUAACCUGCCUCAAAGAGGGGAAUAGCCUCCCGAAAGGGAGAUUAAUACCGCAUAAUAUGUUUAAGUCGCAUGACUUUAACAUCAAAGGAUUUUCUUUUAGAAAUUCCACUUUGAGAUGGACCCGCGGCGCAUUAGCUAGUUGGUGAGGUAAGGCUCACCAAGGCAACGAUGCGUAGCCGACCUGAGAGGUGNCGCGCAUGUA